rnacentral:rRNA from 1 species
UACGAAGGGGGCUAGCGUUGCUCGGAAUCACUGGGCGUAAAGCGCACGUAGGCGGAUUGUUAAGUCAGGGGUGAAAUCCUGGGGCUCAACUCCAGAACUGCCUUUGAUACUGAGAAGCUUGAGUCCGGGAGAGGUGAGUGGAACUGCGAGUGUAGAGGUGAAAUUCGUAGAUAUUCGCAAGAACACCAGUGGCGAAGGCGGCUCACUGGCCCGGUACUGACGCUGAGGUGCGAAAGCGUGGGGAGCAAACAGG